AAAACUUGUGCAUUGUUGAUGGUAGAGUCCACAAGCGUCGAUGCUUAUAUUGUUUGCAUUGUGGAUGGCGUUGACGGUGGGCAUAUAUGCUGCGGUGGAGCUCAUUGGUUCAUGCUUGGUGUGAACUUGGAACUCAUGAUCCUUUAAUUUGUGAACCUCUGGUUGCAUAUGCAUGUAUGUUGUUGUGAACCUUCGUUGGAUAUGUAUGCACUGUGUGGACCUGAAACUUACGGUCCUUUCGUUUCUGAUCUUUUGUUGCAUACGUAUGCAUAUGUGGACUCUGCACUCAUGUACGGCUGGAUAUAUGUAUUACUUGAUAUAUGUUUGUUGGUCAUGGUCAUGUACUGCUGGAUGCAUAUAUUUGUUGGAUAUAUGUGCUGCUGGAUAGAUGUACUACUGUAUA